rnacentral:rRNA from 1 species
AUUGAACGCUGGCGGCAGGCUUAACACAUGCAAGUCGGGCGAGCGGCGGACGGGUGAGUAAUGUCUGGGAAUCUGCCUGAUGGAGGGGGAUAACUACUGGAAAAGGUAGCUAAUACCGCAUACCAUAAGAUGUGACCAGAUGGGAUUCGGUCGUUGGUGGGGUAAAGGCUCACCUAGCCGACGAUCUCUAGCUGGUCUGAGAGGAUGACCAGCCACACAGGAACUGAGACACGGGCCAGACUCCUACGGGAGGCAGCAGUGGGGAAUGUUGCGCAAUGGGCGCAAGCCUGAUGCAGCCAUGCCGCGUGUGUGAAGAAGGCCUUCGGGUUGUAAAGCUCUUUCAGUGACGAGGCGUUACUCACAGAAGAAGCACCGGCUAACUCCGUGCCAGCAGCCGCGGUAAUAC